GACGAACGCUGGCGGCGUGCUUAACACAUGCAAGUCGAACGGAAAGGCCCUGCUUUUGUGGGGUGCUCGAGUGGCGAACGGGUGAGUAACACGUGAGUAACCUGCCCUUGACUUUGGGAUAACUUCAGGAAACUGGGGCUAAUACCGGAUAGGAGCUCCUGCUGCAUGGUGGGGGUUGGAAAGUUUCGGCGGUUGGGGAUGGACUCGCGGCUUAUCAGCUUGUUGGUGGGGUAGUGGCUUACCAAGGCUUUGACGGGUAGCCGGCCUGGGAGGGUGAACGGCGACAAUGGGACUGAGAGACGGCGCAGACUGCUACGGGAGGCAGCAGUGGGGAAUAUUGCACAGUGGGCGGAAGCCUGAUGCAGCAGCGCCGCGUGCGGGAUGACGGCCUUCGGGUUGUAAACCGCUUUCGCCUGUGACGAAGCGUGAGUGACGGUAAUUGGUAAAGAAGCACCGGCUAACUACGUG
rnacentral:rRNA from 1 species